AAGACUAUACUUUCAGGGAUCAUUUCUAUAGUAUGUUACUAGAAAGAUCGGUGACAAUCUCAAUAAAGCAGAGAAUCCUAAAAAUAUUCUACUAGUAAGCUUUGUUUCCCUGAACUGGUGUUUUGUUAGGG
rnacentral:snoRNA from 1 species